GGGCCCGCACAAGCGGAGGAACAUGUGGUUUAAUUCGAUGAUACGCGAGGAACCUUACCCGGGCUUGAAAUGCAUCUGACGUGGGCAGAGACGCCCAUUCCCCUCGGGGCAGAUGUGUAGGUGCUGCAUGGUUGUCGUCAGCUCGUGCCGUGAGGUGUCGGCUUAAGUGCCAUAACGAGCGCAACCCUCAUCAUUAGUUACCAUCAGGUGAAGCUGGGGACUCUAAUGAGACUGCCAUCGUAAGAUGCGAGGAAGGUGGGGAUGACGUCAAAUCAGCACGGCCCUUACGUCCGGGGCGACACACGUGUUACAAUGGGUGGUACAAAGGGCAGCUACAUGGCGACAUGAUGCUAAUCUCCAAAACCGCUCUCAGUUCGGAUCGGAGUCUGCAACUCGACUCCGUGAAGCUGGAUUCGCUAGUAAUCGCGCAUCAGCCACGGCGCGGUGAAUACGUUCCCGGGCCUU
rnacentral:rRNA from 1 species